GACGAACGCUGGCGGCGUGCUUAACACAUGCAAGUCGAACGGAAAGGCCCUGCUUUUGUGGGGUGCUCGAGUGGCGAACGGGUGAGUAACACGUGAGUAACCUGCCCUUGACUUUGGGAUAACUUCAGGAAACUGGGGCUAAUACCGGAUAGGAGCUCCUGCUGCAUGGUGGGGGUUGGAAAGUUUCGGCGGUUGGGGAUGGACUCGCGGCUUAUCAGCUUGUUGGUGGGGUAGUGGCUUACCAAGGCUUUGACGGGUAGCCGGCCUGAGAGGGUGACCGGCCACAUUGGGACUGAGAGAGGGCCCAGACUGGUACGGGAGGCAGCAGGGGGGAAUAUUGCACAAUGGGCGGAAGCCUGAGGAAGCAGCGCCGCGGGCGGGAUGACGGCUUUCGGGUUGUAAACCGCUUUCGCCUGUGACGAAGCGUGAGUGACGGUAAUGGGUAAAGAAGCACCGGCUAACUACGUG
rnacentral:rRNA from 1 species